GAUGAACGCUGGCGGCGUGCCUAAUACAUGCAAGUCGAGCGAACGGACGAGAAGCUUGCUUCUCUGAUGUUAGCGGCGGACGGGUGAGUAACACGUGGAUAACCUACCUAUAAGACUGGGAUAACUUCGGGAAACCGGAGCUAAUACCGAAUAAUAUUUUGAACCGCAUGGUUCAAAAGUGAAAGACGGUCUUGCUGUCACUUAUAGAUGGAUCCGCGCUGCAUUAGCUAGUUGGUAAGGUAACGGCUUACCAAGGCAACGAUGCAUAGCCGACCUGAGAGGGUGAUCGGCCACACUGGAACUGAGACACGGUCCAGACUCCUACGGGAGGCAGCAGUAGGGAAUCUUCCGCAAAGGGCGAAAGCCUGACGGAGCAACGCCGCGUGAGUGAUGAAGGUCUUCGGAUCGUAAAACUCUGUUAUUAGGGAAGAACAUAUGUGUAAGUAACUGUGCACAUCUUGACGGUACCUAAUCAGAAAGCCACGGCUAACUACGUG
rnacentral:rRNA from 1 species